CAGUCUCUACGUCCCACAGCUUUAGGGUUUUGUCAUCGGAAGCUGAGGCGAUGAACCUCGCGUCUGUCGAGAAGGCCACGUCGGAGAUGCCGGAGUCGUGGCCCGUGAAGACUUGUGCGGGCUCGGCGAUGGGAUCUCCCUUGAGGUUGAUGGCGUAAGUGCGGAUCGUCUGGUCCCCGGAGGCCGAAGCCAGGAGGCGGCCAUCGGAGGAGAAUUUAACGGAGGAUAGGGCGUGACCGUGGGAAUUUAGGGUUUGGCAGUGAACGUAUGGGAUCCUAGAACUCGAAUCCUUUUUCUUUUUUUUUGAUCAACUGAACUCGAAUCCUAAAAUCCUAUUUUUUUUCUUUUUUUAAAAAACAAUAUAAAUACAAAAAUAAGAAUAUUCAAUAAAGAUUUUAAAUUGAAAUUAUAAAAUAUAAAAUAUAUCUAUUAUAUUUUACUUAAUAUUAUAAAAUGUUAAAAUAAAAAUAUUUUCUAUAAUUUUAAAAAUUCAAAACUAUAACUUUCUAAAUAUAAUUUUUAUAUUUAUUAUAAUAUUAUGAUUUUUUGAUAUUUUUAUAAUUAUAUAAAAUAUAAAUAUUGUUAAUUUAUUAUUUAACCUCUACUACAUUUGGUAGUUAACCAGUCAUAAGUAUCCCGUAAACGCAUCAAUUUCUAACCACAGAACCAGUCGUACAAAUCUCUAAAAACCGCUAGAAAGCGCAACCAUCCGCAUCUGAAAAUCCCGCAACCGCUGCGUUUGAACCAGUCAGGCCCUUAAUCUAACAAGGUUACUACUCAGAAAUAAUCAAAAAAACACAAAGAUAAACUGAAUGAAUUGCAUGAUAGAUUAGAGAUAGAUAAACCGGAGUUCCAAUACAAUACAUUGAAUGAGUUCAUGAUCUUCUCUCCAAAACUUUAAGCUGCUAAAACCCCAAUAUAUUGUCUGUGUUUUUUUUGCCUGAGCAGUGGCACAAAAUAUAUAUCUAGGUAAAACCUCGCCAUGGGGCAUUGUUGUAAUGUGGACAGGGAUGUAGUUCAUCCUACCUUGAUAUCAAUUUAACAGUUCCCUUCAGAAAAUAUGACUUUAUUUACAGAAGGUUAAAAGCAUUAAAGGUUUAGUUGAAGGUUUAAAAACAUAAAGUUUUAGUUGGGGGUUUUCUAUCCGAUUUAUAAAUAGUUGGAGGUUUAAAUCACUAAAAUAUCUAUUGAUUAUAAGAACCUCAUGUCGUUUUGGGAUCACAUGAAACGCUGCGUUUAGAUUUAACGGGUCUCAGUUAAAAAAAACGAUUUUGUUAACGGAAGGUUUACGUUGUUAACGGAAGGUUUACGGCAUUAACGGUUUAAUAGUUGAAAGUUUAAAAACAUAAAAUUUUAGUUGAGAGUUUUUUAUCCGAUUUGAAAAUAGUUGGAGGUAUAAAUUACUAAUAACCCUUUCAAAAUUGAUAAAACAAACAUAAAAACCACUGCAUCUAACCAAAAUUUCCAAGCAGUGAGGCUUUAACAUACUGUGGUAACUGAAUGUUAACCAUAAAACUCUGAAUACUCUGGAGUUCACUGUUAUAGGUGGUUUUGAACCCCAUGACUUCACCACAAUAUCUAAUAUGAAACUGUGAAUAAGUAAAUCAUUCCAUCGUCAAACCAAUGAAUUUAAUCUAACCAAUAUGGAGUGAAACUGUGAAUAAAUAAAACAUUCCCAUCGUCAAACCUAUGCAUAAAAUUCAUACAAUAUGGAGGAAAAUUUUAAAAACUGACCUGGAAAGUAGGUGUUUGUGUUGGCGAGUAACAUCAUCUCAUCAUAACUGCCUUCAACUCAGAAAGAAGCAGUUGAGGAUUUGCCAUGAUUGUAACCUUCCUUGCAAAUUCUUAGGUAUAAUUGAACACUGCGAGACGACAAGAUGCACAAAGGCGGAGAUGGUAAUAGCUAUGAGAUUCAGGUGUACUCUGCAUCCCUAUUUAUAGUAUUAGUAUAGAAAUUGGGACUAACAGAGGAGUUCUGUGAGACUAAUUAAUGAAUACUUAGUUGAGAUCCAUGAUUGAAGGACAUAAUGGUUUUAAAUAACCGAGAAGCUGUUCCGAAUGGAGGAUUCGUAAAGCUUGACAGAGAAAAUGUAGAUGAGAAGACGAUGAAGGCCAGAGGUUAAAGAAGGAGGUUCUGAACAGAUUAUGAGGUUGAGACGUUACUGUGAGUUCAUUGUCGAUUUAGUUUUCUGGAAAAAUUGACUGUCAGCUACGAAGGUCGUCGAAGGCAAGAAACCCCCAAGUUCCAAUGGGCUUAACAAAAUGAUGUAUAAAAGCCCAAACGAAAGUUCAAUCUAAACAGCAAAACAUACGCUCAGCCCAAGAUAAGUUUACAAAGACAUCAAUAGUGAAAUUUUUUAGCUGCCACGUGUCCAAAAACGCUCAUAGAUGAGUGAUGACGUGGCAGCCUAUGGAGAGAGAAUAGACAAUUUUAUUAUUAUAGAUAUCAUACAUCUACUACGCAUCAAAGCGAAUGUUUGACAUUUAAAAAAAUAGUGGAUGUUUGACAUUUAAAAAAAUAAUCUUUGUAAUUCAAUUUGUUUUCCUACGAAUAGUUUGUUUUACUAUUUGAUUUGCCUCGAAACUUUACAGCUAUCCAAUAUUUUCGAAUCGAAUCAAAUCAAGAUGAAGAACAAAUCAAAUUUAACCGGUAAUAUAUUCUCAGCCUAACCAAAACAACUACCAUACAUUAUCUACGUAUAGUACUCUGGCCAUAAGCUCGUAUGAACAGUUAUUAUCCUUGAAAUAAUUUUAGAAACUAAGAGCAUGAUUAACCCGGGGUUCUUAGGAUGGAGUUCUUAGCGGAAGUUAAGAAACUGUUUCUUAACUUUUAACUUAAAAAGUUAAGAACCAGUUUUUAAAUAAUGACUUUAAGAACCGGUUUUUAGCUUUUUUAGUUAAAAGUUAAGAAACAGUUUCUUAACUUCCGUUAAAAACCUCACUCUAAGAAUCCCUAGUCAAUCAUGGUCUAAUAACAUUUGUGGGAGCACAAAGAAACUGGACAAACAGAUUGAUAAAUAAAAUGAAUUGAAAAGGGAAACCCAGUAACUAAGAAGAUCUGUGCUCACUUUCCAAAUAAAUUUCCUUUGCCAUAAGACAAACCUAAAUAGUCGAGAGUAGAAUCAUUCUAACAAGGCUCAACUAAGAAAGUGAGCACUACAUGAUUACAACAUGAAGGGAAAGUGCAUUUACAUGAAUCAUUAAUUCUCCUGUGCCCAAAUUCUUAUAGACUUGUCGAGCGAGCCUGAUGCGAUCAAGUUCUCUGUGGGGUGGCAAGCCACGCUCAUGACAGGCUCAGUAUGACCCUCAAGUUUCUGAAGCAAUUUCCUGGAGUUCAGCUCCCACAUGUAUACACAAUUGUCCUCGGAUCCACUGACUAUUCGCUUUCCAUUUGUGACGGAGAACGCAGAGGAGACGGAGUACUGAGAGUUGGCGUGGCCAGUGUAUGUUUUGAUGUAUUUAGCAGAAGAAAUGUUCCACAACCUCUGCAAAAUUUGAGAACACGGUGGAGAGAUCAGUGCGUUGAUAACGAAUCAUGAGGAUUUACAUCUUCUAUUGAUGCAAACAAAAAUCAAAUACCAAAAGAUGUAUCUCCCAAACUUAGACUCUUUAAAGCUAGCAGAGAGAUAAGCUUACCAACGAAAACAAACAAUGUUGCAAACUUAGUUUUGGAUGAAACACAGAUAUCACUCAGGAAGGGACUCACCAGGGUGUUAUCGAGAGUGCCAACGAGGAUGAACUUGCCGUUGGGAGAGAACCUAACGAAGGAAACAGGAGGAUUCUCAUCGUCCAUCAGCGUUUUCACACAAUGCCCCGUCCCUGAAUCCCAUAUCCGGCACAACCCAUCGUAGCUACUCGAAACGAUAAGAGACCCGUCGCGAUUGAAAUCCACGGCGGUGACUGGAUCGGAAUGCGCCGGAAGAACUUUCAGGCACUUUCCGGUCGUUACAUCCCAGAUCCGAACAGUUUCGUCGAAGGAGCCGGAUGCAAUCAUGUUUGACUGUGGGUUGAAGUUGACGCAGAAGACGUAGUUAGUGUGCCCGUGAAGCGUUUUGAUCAGUGAACCAGUCUCUACGUCCCACAGCUUUAGGGUUUUGUCAUCGGAAGCUGAGGCGAUGAACCUCGCGUCUGUCGAGAAGGCCACGUCGGAGAUGCCGGAGUCGUGGCCCGUGAAGACUUGUGCGGGCUCGGCGAUGGGAUCUCCCUUGAGGUUGAUGGCGUAAGUGCGGAUCGUCUGGUCCCCGGAGGCCGAAGCCAGGAGGCGGCCAUCGGAGGAGAAUUUAACGGAGGAUAGGGCGUGACCGUGGGAAUUUAGGGUUUGGCAGUGAACGUAUGGGAUGUAAGCUGCUUCUUCUGCCA
rnacentral:lncRNA from 1 species